UACGGGGGGAGCAAGCGUUGUUCGGAUUUACUGGGCGUAAAGGGCGCGUAGGCGGUCAGCACAAGUCAGUUGUGAAAUCUCCGGGCUUAACUCGGAAAGGUCAACUGAUACUGCGGGGCUAGAGUGCAGAAGGGGCAACUGGAAUUCUCGGUGUAGCGGUGAAAUGCGUAGAUAUCGAGAGGAACACCUGCGGCGAAGGCGGGUUGCUGGGCUGACACUGACGCUGAAGCGCGAAAGCUAGGGGAGCGAACGGG
rnacentral:rRNA from 1 species